rnacentral:rRNA from 1 species
AUUGAACGCUGGCGGCAGGCCUAACACAUGCAAGUCGAGCGGUAACACAGAGGAGCUUGCUCCUUGGGUGACGAGCGGCGGACGGGUGAGUAAUGCCUGGGGAUCUGCCCGAUAGAGGGGGAUAACUACGGGAAACUGUAGCUAAUACCGCAUAAUGUCUACGGACCAAAGUGGGGGCUCUUCGGACCUCAUGCUAUCGGAUGAACCCAGGUGGGAUUAGCUAGUUGUUGAGGUAAUGGCUCACCAAGACGACGAUCUCUAACUGGUUUGAGAGAAUGACCAGGCACACUGGAACUGAGACACGGUCCAGACUCCUACGGGAGGCAGCAGUGGGGAAUAUUGCACAAUGGGGGCAAGCCUGAUGCAGCCAUGCCGCGUGUGUGAAGAAGGCCUUCGGGUUGUAAAGCACUUUCAGCGGGGAGGAAGGGUCGCUAGUUAAUACCUAGUGGCAUUGACGUUACUCGCAGAAGAAGCACCGGCUAACUCCGUGCCAGCAGCCGCGGUAAGAC